rnacentral:rRNA from 1 species
ACUCCUACGGGAGGCAGCAGUGGGGAAUCUUAGACAAUGGGGGAAACCCUGAUCUAGCCAUGCCGCGUGAGUGAUGAAGGCCUUAGGGUUGUAAAGCUCUUUCAGCUGGGAAGAUAAUGACGGUACCAGCAGAAGAAGCCCCGGCUAACUCCGUGCCAGCAGCCGCGGUAAU